rnacentral:rRNA from 1 species
GUGUCAGCCGCCGCGGUAAUACAGAGGGGGCAAGCGUUAUUCGGAAUUAUUGGGCGUAAAGGGCGCGUAGGCGGCUUGGCAAGUGGAUGGUGAAAUCCCUCGGCUUAACCGAGGAACUGCCGUCCAAACUGCUUCGCUUGAGACCGGGAGAGGUGAGUGGAAUUCCCAGUGUAGCGGUGAAAUGCGUAGAUAUUGGGAGGAACACCAGUGGCGAAGGCGGCUCACUGGACCGGUACUGACGCUGAUGCGCGAAAGCGUGGGGAGCAAACGGGAUUAGAUACCCGCGUAGUCC